UUGAGGCGUGGCUUCCGGAGCUAACGCGUUAAAUCGACCGCCUGGGGAGUACGGCCGCAAGGUUAAAACUCAAAUGAAUUGACGGGGGCCCGCACAAGCGGUGGAGCAUGUGGUUUAAUUCGAUGCAACGCGAAGAACCUUACCUACUCUUGACAUCCACGGAACUUGCCAGAGAUGGCUUGGUGCCUUCGGGAACCGUGAGACAGGUGCUGCAUGGCUGUCGUCAGCUCGUGUUGUGAAAUGUUGGGUUAAGUCCCGCAACGAGCGCAACCCUUAUCCUUUGUUGCCAGCGGUUCGGCCGGGAACUCAAAGGAGACUGCCAGUGAUAAACUGGAGGAAGGUGGGGAUGACGUCAAGUCAUCAUGGCCCUUACGAGUAGGGCUACACACGUGCUACAAUGGCGUAUACAAAGAGAAGCGAACUUGCGAGAGUAAGCGGACCUCAUAAAGUACGUCGUAGUCCGGAUUGGAGUCUGCAACUCGACUCCAUGAAGUCGGAAUCGCUAGUAAUCGUAGAUCAGAAUGCUACGGUGAAUACGUUCCCGGGCCUUGUACACACCGCCCGUCACACCAUGGGAGUGGGUUGCAAAAGAAGUAGGUAGCUUAACCUUCGGGAGGGCGCUUACCACUUUGUGAUUCAUGACU
rnacentral:rRNA from 1 species